UGCUGUGAUAAAAUNGCCUAACAAAAGACA
rnacentral:piRNA from 1 species